GACGAACGCUGGCGGCGUGCUUAACACAUGCAAGUCGAACGGAAAGGCCCUGCUUUUGUGGGGUGCUCGAGUGGCGAACGGGUGAGUAACACGUGAGUAACCUGCCCUUGACUUUGGGAUAACUUCAGGAAACUGGGGCUAAUACCGGAUAGGAGCUCCUGCUGCAUGGUGGGGGUUGGAAAGUUUCGGCGGUUGGGGAUGGACUCGCGGCUUAUCAGCUUGUUGGUGGGGUAGUGGCUUACCAAGGCUUUGACGGGUAGCCGACCUGAGAGGGUGACCGGCCACAUUGGGACUGAGAUACGGCCCAGACUCCUACGGGAGGCAGCAGUGGAGAAUAUUGCAGAAUGGGCGGAAGCCUGAUGCAGCAACGCCGCGUGCGGGAUGACGGCCUUCGGGUUGUAAACCGCUUUCGCCUGUGACGAAGCGUGAGUGACGGUAAUGGGUAAAGAAGCACCGGCUAACUACGUG
rnacentral:rRNA from 1 species